rnacentral:rRNA from 1 species
AACGAACGCUGGCGGCGCGCUUAACACAUGCAAGUCGAACGAGAAGGCGUAGCAAUACGCUUGUACAGUGGCGAACGGGUGAGUAAUACGCGGGCGACCUACCCUCGAGUGGGGAAUAACCCGCCGAAAGGCGGGCUAAUGCCGCGUACGCUUCCAUCUUUAUGGAGGUGGAAGGAAAGCCGUGCCGUGGGCACGGCGCUCAAGGAUGGGCUCACGUCCUAUCAGCUUGUUGGAGGUAACGCCUACCAAGGCUCCGACGGUAGCUGGUCUGNGAGGACGAUCAGCCACACUGGCACUGCGACACGGGCCAGACUCCUACGGGAGGCAGCAGUGAGGAAUAUUGCGCAAUGGGCGAAAGCUUGACGCAGCGACGCCGCGU